rnacentral:rRNA from 2 species
UCCGUAGGUGAACCUGCGGAGGGAUCAUUACCGAGUUUACAACUCCCAAACCCAAUGUGAACGUUACCAAACUGUUGCCUCGGCGGGAUCUCUGCCCCGGGUGCGUCGCAGCCCCGGACCAAGGCGCCCGCCGGAGGACCAACCAAAACUCUUAUUGUAUACCCCCUCGCGGGUUUUUUUAUAAUCUGAGCCUUCUCGGCGCCUCUCGUAGGCGUUUCGAAAAUGAAUCAAAACUUUCAACAACGGAUCUCUUGGUUCUGGCAUCGAUGAAGAACGCAGCGAAAUGCGAUAAGUAAUGUGAAUUGCAGAAUUCAGUGAAUCAUCGAAUCUUUGAACGCACAUUGCGCCCGCCAGUAUUCUGGCGGGCAUGCCUGUCCGAGCGUCAUUUCAACCCUCGAACCCCUCCGGGGGGUCGGCGUUGGGGAUCGGCCCUGCCUUGGCGGUGGCCGUCUCCGAAAUACAGUGGCGGUCUCGCCGCAGCCUCUCCUGCGCAGUAGUUUGCACACUCGCAUCGGGAGCGCGGCGCGUCCACAGCCGUUAAACACCCAACUUCUGAAAUGUUGACCUCGGAUCAGGUAGGAAUACCCGCUGAACUUAAGCAUAUCAAUAAGCGGAGGA